GGUCCAGACACAGUGAGGAUUGACAGAUUGAGAGCUCUUUCUUGAUUCUGUGGGUGGUGGUGCAUGGCCGUUCUUAGUUGGUGGAGUGAUUUGUCUGCUUAAUUGCGAUAACGAACGAGACCUUAACCUGCUAAAUAGCCCGUACUGCUUUGGCAGUUCGCCGGCUUCUUAGAGGGACUAUCGGCUCAAGCCGAUGGAAGUUUGAGGCAAUAACAGGUCUGUGAUGCCCUUAGAUGUCCUGGGCCGCACGCGCGUUACACUGACAGAGCCAGCGAGUAUUUCCUUGACCGGAAGGUCCGGGUAAUCUUGUUAAACUCUGUCGUGCUGGGGAUAGAGCAUUGCAAUUAUUGCUCUUCAACGAGGAAUCCCUAGUAAGCGCAAGUCAUCAGCUUGCGUUGAUUACGUCCCUGCCCUUUGUACACACCGCCCGUCGCUACUACCGAUUGAAUGGCUCAGUGAGACCUUCGGACUGGCCCAGAGAGGUGGGCAACUACCACUCAGGGCCGGAAAGUUGUUCAAACUCGGUCAUUUAGAGGAAGUAAAAGUCGUAACAAGG
rnacentral:rRNA from 1 species